rnacentral:tRNA from 1 species
UCCGUCGUAGUGUAAUUGGCAGCACCUCUGUUUUUGGUACAGAUAGUUCAGGUUCGAGUCCUGGCGACGGAG